rnacentral:rRNA from 1 species
UACGUAGGGUGCAGGCGUUAAUCGGAAUUACUGGGCGUAAAGCGUGCGCAGGCGGUUUCUUAAGUCAGAUGUGAAAGCCCCGGGCUCAACCUGGGAACUGCGUUUGAAACUGGGAGACUGGAGUGUGGCAGAGGGGGGUGGAAUUCCACGUGUAGCAGUGAAAUGCGUAGAUAUGUGGAGGAACACCGAUGGCGAAGGCAGCCCCCUGGGUUAACACUGACGCUCAUGCACGAAAGCGUGGGGAGCAAACAGG